AUGAACAAGAUCAGGACCGGCGAGCUGGUGUCGCUGUCGGAGCAGCAGCUCGUGGACUGCGACACCGGGAGCAGCGGCUGCAGCGGCGGGCGCUCCGACACGGCGCUCGGCCUCGCGGCAGCCCGCGGCGGCCUCACAUCGGAGGCCAAGUACCCGUACAGCGGCAUGCAGGGCAGCUGUGACGUGGACAAGCAGCUGUUCGACAACGAGGUGUCCGUCAAGGGCUUCAAGGCCGUGCCGCCCAACGACGAGCAUCAGCUGGCGCUUGCCGUGGCGAUGCAGCCCGUGACGGUGUACAUCGACGCCAGCGCGUGGGAGUUUCAGUUCUACACCGGCGGCAUCUACCGCGGCCCUUGCUCCUCCGACGCGGCGAGGGUGAACCACGCCGUCACCAUCGUCGGCUACUGCGAAGGCCCCGGCGAGAACAACAAGUACUGGAUCGCCAAGAACUCGUGGAGCAACGACUGGGGUGACCAGGGCUACAUUUACCUCGCCAAGGACGUGUCAUGGCGGACGGGCACCUGCGGCCUCGCCACCUCGCCCUUCUACCCGACAGUUUGA
rnacentral:rRNA from 1 species